rnacentral:rRNA from 1 species
AAUGAACGCUGGCGGCAUGCCUAACACAUGCAAGUCGAACGGCAACACGGUAAGGGUUCGCUCCUACUGGUGGCGGGGGGCGGAAGAGUAAGGAAUGGAUCGGAUACUAGUUUAUCUCGGGGGACAACGUAGGGCAAGAUCCCAUACUACCUCAUACGACCAACGGGAGAACGCAAGGGAUAUCGAGGCCUUGCCCGCCUGUGUGAGCCGAUGUCGGAUUAGGUAGUUGAGGGGGUAAAGGCACACCAAUGCGACGAUACGUAGCCGGUCUGAGAGGAUGAUCGGCCACACUGGAACUGAGACACGGUCCAGACUCCUACGGGAGGCAGCAGUGGGGAAUUUUGGACAAUGGGCGCAAGCCUGAUCCAGCCAUGCCGCGUGGGGGAUGAAGGCCUUCGGGUUGUAAAACGCUUUUGUUAGGAAAGAAAAGCCGUGUGUUAAAACAGGCGCGUCUUGACGGUACCUAAAGAAUAAGCACCGGCUAACUACGUG